UACGUAGGCAGCGAGCGUUGUUCGGAGUUACUGGGCGUAAAGAGUGUGUAGGCGGUGCUCCCAGUCUGUUGUGAAAUCUCCCGGCUUAACUGGGAGGGUGCAGCGGAAACUAGAGUGCUAGAGGGUGGGAGAGGUAAGCGGAAUUCCUGGUGUAGCGGUGAAAUGCGUAGAUAUCAGGAGGAACACCUGUGGUGUAGACAGCUUACUGGACCACUUCUGACGCUGAGACACGAAAGCGUGGGUAGCAAACAGG
rnacentral:rRNA from 1 species